rnacentral:rRNA from 1 species
CCUACGGGUGGCUGCAGUGGGGAAUAUUGCACAAUGGGCGCAAGCCUGAUGCAGCCAUGCCGCGUGUGUGAAGAAGGCCUUCGGGUUGUAAAGCACUUUCAGCGGGGAGGAAGGCGGUGAGGUUAAUAACCUCAUCGAUUGACGUUACCCGCAGAAGUAGCACCGGCUAACUCCGUGCCAGCAGCCGCGGUAAUACGGAGGGUGCAAGCGUUAAUCGGAAUUACUGGGCGUAAAGCGCACGCAGGCGGUCUGUCAAGUCGGAUGUGAAAUCCCGGGGCUCAACCUGGGAACUGCAUUCGAAACUGGCAGGCUAGAGUCUUGUAGAGGGGGGUAGAAUUCCAGGUGUAGCGGUGAAAUGCGUAGAGAUCUGGAGGAAUACCGGUGGCGAAGGCGGCCCCCUGGACAAAGACUGACGCUCAGGUGCGAAAGCGUGGGGAGCAAACAGGAUUAGAUACCCGUGUAGUC